rnacentral:lncRNA from 1 species
AGCUAGUCCAGUCCGAGAUAGUCCGAUGCAACAAACGCACCCAUAGUGCUUGGAGUUGUCCCACCAAAACAAGGACGUUGACACACAAUACACUCUUUUAUUUUAUAUGUUUUAUGUCUUUAUAUAUGAACUAAAUAUUAAUUUGAUAUUAAAUUCGUCAUUUAUGUUAAUCAAUUUAAUUGUGAAUGAGUGAGAAAAACUAUUACUAGAACGUAAUACUCGUAAAACUUUUUACAGACAACAACCGAUGUCAUAAAAUAGACAUUAGAGCACCUCCAGCGGGGGAGGUUGCUCGGGGGCCAGUGGGUCAAACAGUAGCAAAUUGCUGGGGGGAUGACCUCCAGCGUAUGGAAGCCCGAGCGACAGGCG